GUGAAUCAUCGAAUUUUUGAACGCAAAUUGCACUCUCUGGUAUUCCGGAGAGUAUGCCUGUUUGAGGGUCAUUAUAAAUAAAAAGCGAGGUGUUGCGUAGGGUGACGCCGUAAGACGUGUGUUAUAUAUAGUCUUAAUAAAGGGUUAAACUGACAUAAAAUUGAUGAUAUCUUGUGCAUCUCAGGACGUACAUGAGGAUUUUUUUUUAUCCGUCCGGU
rnacentral:misc_RNA from 1 species